UGAAAAUCCCUCAAUUCACAAUAAACCAUGAAGCCAGAUUUUAGCCAGUAUCAGAUGUGAUAGUUUUUUUCGGUUCCAGCUGUGAGGUUGCGCUAGAGCGUCCACAGGAACCACAGCUGGCGCGAGGGGUAAGGUACAUGGUGGAUCUCUGGAGGCCGACACCUGGCGUCGUCCGGCCACGGGAAGGAAAACCCCUCAGCUGCCUGUGUGAUGUCGACCGGGAGGAGCUGGGAAACGACCCUGAGUCGCGUUAAGCUAAGAAGAACCAGAGGCGCGCUGCGAGAUGCCCAAACAAGCAACCGGUGUGCGUCUUUCCAUCCGGCAGCAUCCGCUGUGACCUAUGUCACAGUCGCCAGAGAACCAGUGACUUCACACGUGAGAGCAAAUAAACCCGGAGCGUUCCAGCCAUGAAAGCGCCUGGAGGCGCCAUGCUGAGCAUUACGCUGCCUGUAAAAAUCACUGAGCAUGACCAGUUUAGUGGUGGGUCAGUGAUGGACUGGGGAAUGGCUGCUGCAGUUUAAUGUAACACUUUGCUGCCGCACAGGAAAUCUGAGUAAUUGAAUUGUUUCAUGUUUUACUUUAAAGUAAGAGGAAAAAAGACUCUAAGAGCAUUUAGUCCAUUUUUAUCUGAAAAUCACGUGUUAACUGUUUGGUUAAACACAUCUGUUCUGGUGUCGGUCGGUCUUUGAAGUAGACACAUCAGCGCUCGUUUCCAUUCUCUCCACAUGUGGUCUGAUGGCGAACAAGCCGGACCACCUUUUUUAUGCUUUCAGGUCGCCCACCGCUAACAUGUCACACACUUUCUCAGCACACCUGCCUCAGGCAACACACCAGAGAAUGGCCGCUCUGCCCCCAUAAACAGAUGUUGCCAAACAUUGUGAUGAAGUGUAACUGAAGCCACUAAACUCUCACUGGGAGCUAAUUUGUUUCUGUCACAACAGGAAUAACUACAGAUUUAAAUAGAUCCCGAGGCCGCUGCGCUCUGGUUGAGUGGAAACAGAAAUAAUGACUCUGAAGCUGUGGUGAAACGAGAUCUGUUCAUUUCUGUACUUCAGAAAACAAAAAAUGACAGAUGAAGAAUGGUUACAUUUCUGCUUGUGCGUCUCCAAACCCACAGUGAACUGUUUCCAACAGUCCUGACGUCUCCGAUGCCGUGCACCCCCCCGUUUUUUUUGUCCAUCGACAGUGACGGCCUAUUUUUCACGAGGAGCGAGAAACGGGGCCCGUAUGGAGAAGUUUACAAGGCUUAGCAGCUCAUUUACAAGUUUACCAACUCUGCUCGCUUCUCGUCUCCUCAUCCAUCUUCUCCACACUGUUCCGCCGCAACAAUGACUUCACGCCCCUGUCACGUCCGUUCGACCACACAGAGCAGUGAGGGGCUGUCACCAAAACUCCGCUGUUUCAACAUGUG
rnacentral:lncRNA from 1 species